UUGAAAUGCAGGUGCAGCUGGACAUUCUUCUGAGCUAAAAGCAUAUUUAUUUAGUCCCGUCAAACGGAUUAUUACCUUUGCUCUAGCUAACACAAAGGUUGAAUGUACUACGUGCUGACCGAUGCAGGAUUACCAAGUUUCCGUCAAAAGAAACUUGUAAACUCGAUCUCAAAUCAAGUAAGACUACCCGCUGAACUUAA
rnacentral:misc_RNA from 1 species